CUUACCAAGUUUUAACAUUAUAGUUCUUAUAGUUUCAGAGAAAAGUGGAUGUGACAUACGGACGGACAGACAGACAGACAUGACGAAUCUAUAAGGGUUCCGUUUUUUGCCAUUUGGCUACGGAACCCUAAAAACAUAAUAGAUCAUCAAGUGUGCAUCACGAAGUGGACCCAACUCAGCAUAAUGCCAGCGCUGGUCUUCCGUAGGGCCCAUUCGGUGAUGCCACGACAGAUAACACACAAAGAUACAUAUUAAAACAUUACAAA